UCGGCGCGUCGUGGAGCCGAACGGGAGGCGGGCGGGACCUGAACCUGAACCGGCCGUCCACGGCGAGGACGGCCUGGUGAUCAAAGUGCAUCCUGGUUCUCACCACACUCACCUCGUCAUCCAGCUGACCUCUGAACCCGACUCAACAGGAUUCUCACAGACCAGAGGACAUCAGAGGACAGGACAUCAGGAGUUUUCUACAUUUCAUUGCCAAAUGAAGACACGUGAGGAGAAGCUGCUCUGAACCGUGGUCCUCACAUCUGAACUCACCGUGACCCCGAUGUUAAACAAUAAGAUUAUUUCUCAG